rnacentral:misc_RNA from 1 species
UUUCCGUAGGUGAACCUGCGGAAGGAUCAUUAAAGUUAUAGUCCCCCGGCCCUCUGGGCUGGGGUCUUCUAUACCACCCUUUGUUUAUUACACCUUUGUUGCUUUGGCAGGCCUGCCCUCGGGCUGCUGGCUCCGGCCGGCUCGCGUCAGCCAGAGGACCUAAACUCUGUUUGUAUAUGAAGUCUGAGUACUAUAUAAUAGUUAAAACUUUCAACAACGGAUCUCUUGGUUCUGGCAUCGAUGAAGACCGCAGC